CCAGUCACAAUCUUCUGGACUCUAACCAGUCACAAUCUUCUGGACUCUAACCAAUCAGGCUUCAAGACGGGUCAACUCAACCGAGACUGCUCGUCUUUCUUCUUCUUCUUUGUGUCAUGGAGGUUCUCCACUCUGCCAAAGCUGACUCUCCUCUGUUCUCAUCCUCCUAGAACCAUCAGAACCUCCUCUCCACCCUCUCAGGGCUGGGUGUCUCAGGCUCUAUCAGAUCCUCCUCUCCACCUUCUCGGGGCUGGGCGUCUCAGGCUCUGCCUCCGCUCCACCCUCUCAGGGCUGGGCGUCUCAGGAUCUAUCAGAUCCUCCUCUCCACCCUCUCAGGGCUGGGUGUCUCAGGAUCUAUCAGAUCCUCCUCUCCACCCUCUCAGGGCUGGGCGUCUCAGGCUCUAUCAGAUCCUCCUCUCCACCUUCUCGGGGCUGGGCGUCUCAGGCUCUGCCUCCGCUCCACCCUCUCAGGGCUGGGCGUCUCAGGCUCUAUCAGAUCCUCCUCUCCACCCUCUCAGAGCUGGGUGUCUCAGGCUCUAUCAGAUCCUCCUCUCCACCUUCUCGGGGCUGGGCGUCUCAGGCUCUGCCUCCGCUCCACCCUCUCAGGGCUGGGCGUCUCAGGAUCUAUCAGAUCCUCCUCUCCACCCUCUCAGGGCUGGGUGUCUCAGGAUCUAUCAGAUCCUCCUCUCCACCCUCUCAGGGCUGGGUGUCUCAGGAUCUAUCAGAUCCUCCUCUCCACCCUCUCAGGGCUGGGCGUCUCAGGCUCUAUCAGAUCCUCCUCUCCACCCUCUCAGGGCUGGGAGUCUCAGGCUCUAUCAGAUCCUCCCCUCCACCCUCUCAGGGCUGGGUGUCUCAGGCUCUAUCAGAUCCUCCCCUCCACCCUCUCAGGGCUGGGCGUCUCAGGCUUUGCACACUCUUGGAUUGCAUCCUACCUGGCUUCUCCUACCAGGUGACGUGGAGAGAAUCUGUCUCUGCACCACGUACUCUCAAUAUUGGUGUCCCCCAGGGCUCGGUUCUAGGUCCUCUCUUCUUUAUACACCAAGUAAUUUGGCUCUGUCAUAUCCUCACAUGGUCUCUCCUGUCAUUGCUAUGUGGAUGACACAGCUACUUUUCUCUUUCCCCACCUUCUGA
rnacentral:lncRNA from 1 species